rnacentral:rRNA from 1 species
AGGACGAACGCUGGCGGCGUGCCUAACCCAUGCAAGUCGAACGAGGAUAUACCAGAGGAGAGCUUCGGCAGGAAUCGGGUAUAUUCGAGUGGCGGACGGGUGAGUAACGCGUGAGCAACCUGUCCCAGACAGGGGGAUAACACUUGGAAACAGGUGCUAAUACCGCAUAAGACCACGGUAUCACAUGGUAGUGGGGUAAAAGGAGCAAUCCGGUUUGGGGUGGGCUCGCGUCCGAUUAGAUAGUUGGUGAGGUAACGGCCCACCAAGUCGACGAUCGGUAGCCGACCUGGGAGGGUGAUCGGCCACAUUGGAACUGAGAGACGGUCCAAACUCCUACGGGAGGCAGCAGUGGGGAAUAUUGGGCAAUGGGCGAAAGCCUGACCCAGCAACGCCGCGUGAGUGAAGAAGGCCUUCGGGUUGUAAAGCUCUGUUAUAGUUGACGAAGGAAGUGACGGUAGGCUAUAAGGAAGCCCCGGCUAACUACGUGCCAGCCGCAGC